rnacentral:rRNA from 1 species
CCCUUAGAUGUUCUGGGCAGCACGCGCGCUACAAUGGUCUUCGCAAACGGAUGCAUUCUCGAAGGAGAAUGCCAAUCUUGGAAUCUAUGCCUUGGUCGGGACAGUUGCUUGCAAUUUUUCGACUCGAGCCAGGAAUUCCUUGUAAUCGUGAUUCAUCACAUCACGAUGAAUACGUCCCUGCCCUUUGUACACACCGCCCGUCGCUCCUACCGAUCGAAGAGUUAGGUGAAUUGUUUUGAUCGAUAAGAUUUGACUAUGGUCAACUCUCGUUGUGAAAUUCUGUGAAUCUGACUGUUUAGAGGAGGGAAAAGUCGUAACA